CACUAUCGUUAACUGAAUACAUAGGUUAACGAGGCGAACCGGGGGAACUGAAACAUCUAAGUACCCCGAGGAAAAGAAAUCAACCGAGAUUCCCCCAGUAGCGGCGAGCGAACGGGGAGCAGCCCAGAGUCUGAAUCAGCUUGUGUGUUAGUGGAACGGUCUGGAAAGUCCGACGGUACAGGGUGAUAGUCCCGUACACCAAAAUGCACAGGUUGUGAACUCGAAGAGUAGGGCGGGACACGUGGUAUCCUGUCUGAAUAUGGGGGGACCAUCCUCCAAGGCUAAAUACUCCUGACUGACCGAUAGUGAACCAGUACCGUGAGGGAAAGGCGAAAAGAACCCCGGCGAGGGGAGUGAAAAAGAACCUGAAACCGUGUACGUACAAGCAGUGGGAGCACCUUCGGGUGUGACUGCGUACCUUUUGUAUAAUGGGUCAGCGACUUAUAUUCUGUAGCAAGGUUAACCGUAUAGGGGAGCCGCAGGGAAACCGAGUCUUAACUGGGCGUUAAGUUGCAGGGUAUAGACCCGAAACCCGGUGAUCUAGCCAUGGGCAGGUUGAAGGUGGGUAACACUAACUGGAGGACCGAACCGACUAAUGUUGAAAAAUUAGCGGAUGACUUGUGGCUGGGGGUGAAAGGCCAAUCAAACCGGGAGAUAGCUGGUUCUCCCCGAAAGCUAUUUAGGUAGCGCCUCGUGAACUCAUCUUCGGGGGUAGAGCACUGUUUCGGCUAGGGGGUCAUCCCGACUUACCAACCCGAUGCAAACUACGAAUACCGAAGAAUGUUAUCACGGGAGACACACGGCGGGUGCUAACGUCCGUCGUGAAGAGGGAAACAACCCAGACCGCCAGCUAAGGUCCCAAAGUCAUGGUUAAGUGGGAAACGAUGUGGGAAGGCACAGACAGCCAGGAUGUUGGCUUAGAAGCAGCCAUCAUUUAAAGAAAGCGUAAUAGCUCACUGGUCGAGUCGGCCUGCGCGGAAGAUGUAACGGGGCUAAACCAUGCACCGAAGCUGCGGCAGCGACACUAUGUGUUGUUGGGUAGGGGAGCGUUCUGUAAGCCUGCGAAGGUG
rnacentral:rRNA from 1 species